UAGCAACUUUCAGCAGUGGAUGUCUAGGCUCGCACAUCGAUGAAGAACGCUGCGAACUGCGAUACGUAAUGCGAAUUGCAGGAUUCAGUGAGUCAUCGAAAUUUUGAACGCAUAUUGCACUUCCGGGCUAGUCCUGGAAGUAUGCCUGUAUCAGUGUCCGUA
rnacentral:rRNA from 1 species